UACGUAGGGGGCAAGCGUUGUCCGGAAUCAUUGGGCGUAAAGAGCGUGUAGGCGGCCAGAAAAGUCCGCUGUGAAAACUCGAGGCUCAACUUCGAGCUGUCGGUGGAAACUUUCUGGCUAGAGUCCGGAAGAGGAGAAUGGAAUUCCUGGUGUAGCGGUGGAAUGCGCAGAUAUCAGGAGGAACACCGAUGGCGAAGGCAGGUCUCUGGGCCACUACUGGCGCUGAGAAGCGAAAGCAUGGGGAGCGAACAGG
rnacentral:rRNA from 1 species